CUGAAAUCAACUUCUCCAGUCCUCUCAAAUCAGACCAUCAGAUUUACAGAAUAUGAGUGUUGGCAUAGACACUAGAGCAAUUUGUCAUCUGACCCUUGCUCCUGCUCCUAAGGUUUCACAUAGAGGUCAUGGAUAACUGGAUCAUUCUCAAACUCAAGUGCUGCAACUUUAUAUGCCUCAAGAUUUCCACCUUCAG